rnacentral:rRNA from 1 species
CCAGCUCCAAUAGCGUAUAUUAAAGUUGUUGCAGUUAAAAAGCUCGUAGUUGAACUUCUGUUCAGGUUCAUUUCGACUCGUCGAGUGAAACUGGACAUACGUUUGCAAACUAAAAUCGGCCUUCACUGGUUCGACUUAGGGAGUAAACAUUUUACUGUGAAAAAAUUAGAGUGUUCCAGGCAGGUUUUAGCCCGAAUACAUUAGCAUGGAAUAAUGGAAUAGGACUAAGUCCAUUUUAUUGGUUCUUGGAUUUGGUAAUGAUUAAUAGGGACAGUUGGGGGCAUUAGUAUUUAAUAGUCAGAGGUGAAAUUCUUGGAUUUAUUAAGGACUAACUAAUGCGAAAGCAUUUGCCAAAGAUGUUUUCA